rnacentral:rRNA from 1 species
AACGAACGCUGGCGGCAUGCCUAACACAUGCAAGUCGAACGAGACCUUCGGGUCUAGUGGCGCACGGGUGCGUAACGCGUGGGAACCUGCCCUUAGGUUCGGAAUAACUCCCCGAAAGGGGUGCUAAUACCGGAUAAUGUCUUCGGACCAAAGAUUUAUCGCCUUUGGAUGGGCCCGCGUUGGAUUAGCUAGUUGGUAGGGUAAAAGCCUACCAAGGCGACGAUCCAUAGCUGGUCUGAGAGGAUGAUCAGCCACACUGGGACGGAGACACGGCCCAGACCCCUGCGGGGGGCAGCAGGGGGGAAUAUUGGACAAGGGGCGAAAGCCUAAUCCCGCAUGGCCGGGGAGGUGAUGAAGGCUUUAGGGUUGUAAAGCUCUUUUACCCGGGAUGAUAAUGCCGGUACCGGGGGAAUAAGCCCCGCCUACCUCCGU